CGCCGCGUGAGGGAUGACGGCCUUCGGGUUGUAAACCUCUUUCAAUAGGGACGAAGCGCAAGUGACGGUACCUAUAGAAGAAGGACCGGCCAACUACGUGCCAGCAGCCGCGGUAAUACGUAGGGUCCGAGCGUUGUCCGGAAUUACUGGGCGUAAAGAGCUCGUAGGUGGUUUGUCGCGUUGUUCGUGAAAACCCACAGCUUAACUGUGGGCGUGCGGGCGAUACGGGCAGACUUGAGUACUGCAGGGGAGACUGGAAUUCCUGGUGUAGCGGUGGAAUGCGCAGAUAUCAGGAGGAACACCGGUGGCGAAGGCGGGUCUCUGGGCAGUAACUGACGCUGAGGAGCGAAAGCGUGGGGAGCGAACAGGAUUAGAUACCCUGGUAGUCCACGCCGUAAACGGUGGGUACUAGGUGUGGGUUUCCUUCCUUGGGAUCCGUGCCGUAGCUAACGCAUUAAGUACCCCGCCUGGGGAGUACGGCCGCAAGGCUAAAACUCAAAGGAAUUGACGGGGGCCCGCACAAGCGGCGGAGCAUGUGGAUUAAUUCGAUGCAACGCGAAGAACCUUACCUGGGUUUGACAUGCACAGGACGCCGGCAGAGAUGUCGGUUCCCUUGUGGCCUG
rnacentral:rRNA from 1 species